CAAGUAAGGUUCUAGCGUUCACAUUUUAUAAGCUUCUCCUUGGUUCUAGCGUUCACAUAAAUAAAGAGACAAACAUGUAUGAUUUAUAACUCAAAAUUUACCAACCCAACUGAUUCAGCAUGUUUAGUCCUUUAAUCUUUGUUCCUAGUACUACCUCCAUGAUCCCACACUCCUAAUCAUAUGAGCUAAAAUGUUACACAUUCAAUCUUUGGAGGAUAUAAAGAAAAAGACAUAAAUAUAGAUAGAUUAUAUUUCCAUAAGGUUGAGCGAUCUGAUCUGACAAAUGUUUUAAAUGCUACACUCAUAAUCUUUUUAUCCAUCAACUUUGUCUUGCUCACUAUGCUUAAGGUUAGAGAAGAACAAAUACACUUUUGGUUCUGUUGGUGUUUUUCACCAACAGGGCCCAUGCACUUGAUUUCUUCCUUGUCUCUAUGAGCAGGUACACUUGGAGCAAAACAUAGUGGAGUUUUACAACUCUCAGAUUCCACUAAGUGAAGGACCUGGAUCUACGAGCACAAACACACUAAGCAGGAUACUGCCAACACCACACUUUGAACUACUGGGCAAACGAAGAACAUGAGUGACACCGUAUUAAGAGGUGCAGACGUCAAGGUCCACACCUGAAUCAAAUGACGCACCUGAAGAAUGAACACGGUGAGAAGUCUUGUUCAGAAGACUUAAAACAUUGAACCCUCGCCGAAAGGUAAAAUCGGUAGUUAUCCAUAUUUAUCCUUUUUGCAUUCCCUUUUCCCUUUAAUUACUUACUUUCCUUAAAUAGCUUAUUAGUUAAUCAUGCUAUCUUGAAAAGAAAAUAAAAAUGUUAAAAAUACUAAGCCCCAUGUGAGUAUGCUCGUGGCAUAAAACCCAUAAGUACAUUCACUGUGGUGGCGUAAAAAUAAAAUAAAUAUAUUCCUGUCCUAUAGAAAUUAAAAUAUAAAAAUAAAUUUAUGAUCCUACCAAAGAGAGUAAUAUUUAUUAGAGGAAGCUCAACAUGACAAAGGCAAAGAGAUUUUAUGCUAACAGUUCCACAAAGCUUCGUUGUCUAUUUGAGCUCCGCAGAAUUCAAGGAUCAAAGAAGACUAGGAGACGGAGGACAUCCUAAUCGCUGUCAGAGUGCUGCCGACAUUCAAAUACACCUCCGCCACUAGUUAACUACAUCAGAAGAAAUUACGUCAAAAUCCAGCUUGGGGGAGAGCACCCCCAUUUAUCCAGCUAAGUGUUUCUACGCAUGUUUAUACUUUACUCAAAUAAUAAAAAAAUGCAUAAUCAUAAAAAACCCAAAUAAAGGUUUUAUGCUUAUAUAUAUAUCUUUGCUUAGUUUGCUAAAUAAAUAAAUAAAGUUUGCUACGAACCCUCAUGAUAAGCUCUCACAUGGAAAUGAUGAAUAGUUGCUCUGCCAUGACUAGUCCUCAAAAUUGAAUUCUCUCUCAAGUUUAGGCAUGAUUGCUAUGAAUUAAGAUUUGCUCUAAACCUAAACUUGUGGGAAGAGUACUUGAUCUAAAGUCUAAGUCGUUAACGGAUAUGAUAUGGGAAGGUUGAGCUGCUGUUUAUCUGUUCCUAGAGAUGCUAGAAUUCUGGAGAAUUUUAUCUUUAAAUCUUUAAAAUAUUGCAUGAUGAGUUCCUGUAUGAUGAGAGUUUAAAUUCCUACCACAGCUAUAUAUACAUGCUUGCUAGACUUUGAGCCACACAUUUACUUUACUACUUAUGAGCAUUGAUUGUGGUCAAGCUGUGUAGACCCUUAGGAGCUUGUCAUGUGGUUAAAAUCAAGAUUCACUUGCACGUUCACUCAUACAUGCUACUUCUACUAUGGAAGUACGCAUCCACAUACAUCCACUCAUUUCCAUCUCCAGAUUCACCCAAAAUUAUUCUACUCCUAUCCAAGAGAGAAUAGCCAAAAAGAUUAUCCUAUCCCUGUUAUUCCCCGUGAAAUAAAUGCUCCAGAUAUUUUGGUUACUACCACUUGCUAUAUUAUUCUAGGAGGGUGAGUGCUCUGAAAAAAAAGAAGAAAAAAAUACGAGGAAAUAAAAAGAGGCAAGUGCCCGGAACCUCGAAGAAAAGAAAAAGUGAGACGACAGAUAAAAAUAGACAAGUGUCCGACAGUAGAAUUAGGGGUACAAGAUAGCCACCUGAGAGAAAAGAAAAAGAAAAUAUAGAGCAUCUCAUUCCUCUCAAAAACCUUCAAAGUGCAAGAAACGUAUGUAUCCCCUCAAAAGAGCAAAAGUAGAAUUAGACUUCCACCAUUGUUACCACCAUACACCAUUCAUUCGCCACACAUGCACAUCUUGAUUUGACUUAUUGACUUGUUUCUCUGGAUCCAUAGUCUGACUAUGCAAUAAAUGUCUUGUAAGUAUGUAUUAGCUGUCUCCCACCUAUGAGCUCCAGAUAUCAAAAUCUUUUUAGAGUAAGGUGAGAGAGAAGGCAAUAUCACUAUGCCUCAUACCCAAAAUACCACAUACUUUGAAAGAAGGCAUAUACCAUUACUGGCUUGGAAAGGAUCCAGAAAUACCACAAAAGAGAGAUUUGAGAGAAUCAUACAAGGAAUCUUUGAGUUUUAUUUGAAAACCUGCAAAAACUCCAGAGCUAUAGUUGAUCAAAGAACAAGAGACAUGGUGCUUGACUUGACCGUUCUAUCUUUUAACUGCUCAAGACACAAGUGACGGUUGCAAGCCCCAUGGUGGAAGGUAAUAUGAGUAAGUUUAAAUCUUAACAGUUUACCUUAACCUAGAAAUGAGAUCUUGUUUGAACGCAUGUAUACCUUUAAGGCAUGAAACCACUGCAGAAACUCUUGAGUCCAUCCUUGCUCAGAGACGAGCCAGAGGUAAGCUUGGGGGAGUUGUUGACGGUCCUUAAGUACCAAAUAUAAGCUUGUUUCUCUGUGUGCGUAUAAAUACCAUAGUACACUCUAGUGCCAUGCUGGGGAUGACAAACUAGUAUUCAAGUGGUGAUAGCAAGUGUCAACAGGUAGCAGAAUAGAGAGGAUAACUAUGGUUUCUCUACUUCAAAGGGGUAUGUCUAUGUCUGGGACGAACCAUGUGAUAAGAAUACACUACAAAUGAUGCUUAUCCAUAGGCCAAUAAACCCUACCCGUCCUGCUAACAAGAGGUGGACUACAGGGGACCAACGUAACUGUCACCUACGCGGCCUACCACACGAUCCAGCUAGAUAGGAGAUAUCCACAAGUAAUCUAGGUCUAAGCACCACGCUUACACCUAUACUACAACUCUAACCUAUAGGGUCCUAUAGAUUAGAAGUACUCAAAAGAGUUGUGAACCAGAACAUACAUGAUUAGUAAUUGCAUAAUGAAUUAGAAGUAGAUUACCAGAGUCAUCCCAUGAGCAAGCUUGAUUAGAGCUUGAUCAUGACGAAGUACAACCGGAGGAAGAACUGACAUGUCGGCCUCUCCUCUAAUCCUCAUUCGCUCUCCAUCUGGCUACUAUCUAGAUCUACUCUAGUUUAGAGAUGAGAGGAGAGCUCUCAUCUCCAAACCCUAGCUUUUGCUCUAUCUAUGAAUAAUGAAUAAUGAUCAAGGGGUGCCUCCUCCAGGGGCCAGGGAGUCUGGUUAUAUAGUCCCCUCAAGUGAAUCUAGGCCGUCGGAUCAAACCGACAUUGAUUGAACAGUUAUCCUUGAUCCUUUAGGUCGGUGGAGAUUGAUCCCAAAAGAGAGUCCUAUUUGGACUCCAGGAGGGGGCGGGCGCCCAAGUCAACUGGGCGGGCACCAGGGCCUGGCUCCGUUCGGCCUCCGCUUCCUUCCCGUGGCUUCUGGAGUCUUCUAGAUGUAAGAUAAUUGCGCGGCACGUUGAUAUCUCUAUAUAAUCCCGACGUGUGGGACUUUCUUCCUUAUUUCCUGAUAACCCCCUGUAGAAAUAGACAAACACCAAAACUCAUGGAAUUCUGUCAGAUAAAACCCUAAGUUUAGAUGUUGGUUGUAUUUGGAUCCUUUUCUUUGUUUAUUUGCUGAUUAUAUUUGGUACUUAAGGACCGUCAACAGAGAUGAGCACUAGCAUCUUCGUGCGCCUUCCCACAGAACUGGUUGGAUUGCACCAUGUUGAUAAGUCCAGGCUUGAGCUCAAAGUUGCAUCUUCGUGCGGAUGUUGUCCGUAGUGGGAGGUGAGAACUCAUGGAUCGAUUUGUUCGCCAUAGCUUCGAACUCUGAAGACAAGUUCCGGUGAUCUUCUUGAUUGGAUGAAGCUUCUUGCUGAAGUGUUGAUGAUCUCUUCUUGAGCUUGGUUCUUGUUUUUCUGAAUAACGCUUCGGGAUUGUCAACAAAAUUUCCUAGAAGAUGUCUUCUAUUCAUACAUUCCCCUUCAUAAGAUAAAAAUAGAAAAAUAUUGGGGUAAAACUAUAUGAGAGAAUAGAUAAGCUCAAUCACAUUAGUGAUGCUAAUGAUAACUCAAAAUCCAUAUCCAUUCCUGAUUAGUAAUCAACCUUCCUCGGCAACGGUGCCAAAAAUGCUUGUUGGGUAUUCUUAACAUCAUUACCAAAAGUAGACUUAGUUUUCUAAUUCUGAUAACGGUGCCAAAAAUGCCAAACCUAUCUCUCAUACCACUUAAGCCAAGUUGUCAUCCCCAGCAUGACAUGAGAGACGCGGUUUUGAAAUAUGCAAUUGCUCUUCUAAAUAAAUAAUGAAUGGGAUCUGCAAGCGCACAGAUUAAUACCGAUGUAGCAUUUUAACCGGGAAGUAUUCCAGGUAUCGUUAUUUAUAUUUUUACCACUGGGAAGGGAUUAGCAAUCAUCAAUUCUGAUUACAGAAUAGAAUAUGAGAUUGAGUAUCUAUCAUUGCAUGUAUAAUUGAGAACAUUUAUCUAACUCUUUCAUACAGGGAUAAGUGUCACAUAAAAGAUAUAUGAAGUAAUGAAUAGUGACAAAGAUAAUUAAUCUGAUCAGUAUAACUUAGCCACAUAUAAAUAUGAUAAGCACCUCAAUUAGAUACUCUAGAAAGUCAUUAGCAUGGUAUUAGAACGAACUACAAGAAUAUUUCCUAAGUUAUUCUCAACUAUAUAGUCUAGCAUUAUCAUAGUUAGUGCAAGCAUACUUAGCAAUCAUUGCGAGAGAAGACUACGCCCAUGCAUAGUGAUAUUAGCAAGGUAAAUGAGAAACAUAGCAAUCACUCCCCUGUAAUAAUGUUGCUCUGCCAGCCCAAUACACGAGAGGGGGACUAUAUAAGAAUCAAUGAAGCUGUCACUAUCACGAACUACCCCACGAUCUGGCAUAUUGGGUACAAUCGCAGAUAAAUACGGUAUAAGCACCACGCCUACACAAUAUCUAUCAUUUACCCAUGGAUCCGAUGAAUAAACGCUAUACGAUCCUAAACAUGUAUAUAGAUCCAAUCUAACUAAGCCAAGUAUAUAACUAUGAUAAACUAAGAACAAUAUAAUCUUGAAUAUAAACAAGUAGAGCAAAGUUAUAAGCAAUAUAUUGAAGUAGAACAAAGUCAUAUUCAUAAUAUUAAAGAACAAAGAUGAUUAGAAGAACAAUUAGAAGAACAAUUAGAGAAUUACCAAGAAUCCUCUUGACAGAUCCGGAAACUAAUCGAAGAUUGACUCCUUCUAGUUCUAAUCCUAUGUAGCUAUGCUAAUCUAGAUAUCUAAUUGAUGUGGUGGCUCUAAUCUUGAUCAGAGGCUUCUUCUCCCUUGAGAAUAAUAAAUUAGGGUUGAGAGGCUCUCUCCUCCAGGGGCCAGGGGGUCUAGUUUUAUAGUCUAUUCAAGUGAAUAUGGGCCGUUGGAUCAAAGCGACAUUGAUUGAAUGGUUAUCCUUGAUCCUUUAGGUCGGUGGUGAUCUUUCCCGAAAGAGUGUCCUGAUUGGAGUCCAACAGGGGGCGGGCGCCCAGGUCAACUUGGCGGGCGCCCAGUGCGUGGCUCCGUUCGGCCUCCGCUUCCUUUCCGUGGCUUCUGGAGUCUUGUAGAUGUAAGAUAAUUGCGCGGCACAUUGAUAUCUCUAUGUAAUCCCGACAUGUGGGCCUUUCUUCCAUAUUUCCUGAUAACCCCCUGCAGAAAUAGACAAACACAAAAACUCGUGGAAUUCUGUCAGAUAAAACCCUAAGUCUAGAUGUUGAUUUCAUUUGGAUCCUUUUCUUUGUUUAUUUGAUAAUUAAAUUUGAUACUUAAGGACCGUUAACAAGAGGCUCUCUCCUCCAGGGGCCAGGGGGUCUGGUUUUAUAGUCCCUUCAAGUCAAUAUGGGCCGUUGGAUUAAACCGACAUUGAUUGAAUGGUUAUCCUUGAUCCUUUAGGUCGGUGGAGAUCUUUCCCGAAAGAGAGUCUUCUUUGGACUCCAGCAGGGGGCGGGCGCCCAGGUCAACUAGGCGGGCGCCCAGUGCCUGGCCCCGUUCGGCCUCCGCUUCCUUCACGUGGCUUCUGGAGUCUUCUAGAUGUAAGAUAAUUGCGCGGCACGUUGAUAUCUCUAUGUAAUCCCGACGUGUGGGUCUUUCUUCCAUAUUUCCUGAUAACCCUGCAGAAAUAGACAAACACCAAAACUCAUGGAAUUCUGUCAGAUAAAACCCUAAGUCUAGAUGUUGAUUUCAUUUGGAUCCUUUUCUUUGUUUAUUUGUUAAUUAAAUUUGAUACUUAAGGACCGUCAACAAACUCCCCCAAGCUUACCUCUUGCUCGUCCCUGAGCAAGGAUAAUCUCAGCGAUGGAUCAGAAGUUGCUGCAAUACUUUUUAAAAUUGACGGUACACAUGCUUUUAAAUAAGAUCUCAUCUCUGAGUUAGAGUAAACUGUCAAGACUUAAAACUUACUUACUUACUUUUCACCAUGGGACUUGUAACCGUCACUUCUGUCUUGAGUAAUUAAAAGAUAGAACGAUCUAGCUAAGUGCCAUGUCUCUUAUUCUUGAUCAGCUAUAGCUCAUGGAGUUUUUGCAGAUUUUCAAAUAAAACUCAGAGAUUCCUUUGUAUGACUCUCUUAGAUCUCUCCUUUGUGGUAUUUCUGGAUCCUUACCAAGGCGGUGAUGGUAUAUACCUUCUGUCAAAAUAUGUAGUAUUUAUGGUAUAAAGCAUAGUGACAUUGUCUUCUCUCUCACCCUACUCUAAUAAGGCUUUUAAUAUCUGGAGCUCAUAGGUGGGAGAUAAAAUAUACAUACUUACAAGACAUAUAUUGUAUAGUCAAACCAUGGAUCCAAAGAAACAAAUCAAUAAGUCAAAUCAAGAUGUGCAUGUGUGGCGAAUGAAUGGUGUAUGGUGAUGAUGGUGAUAACAAUGGUGAAAGUCUAAUUCUACUUUUGGUCUUUGAGGGGAUACAUACCUUCCUUGCUCUCUGAAACUUUGGGGAGAAUGAGAUGCUCUAUAUUUUCUUUUUCUUUCCUCUCAGAUAGGUAUCUUGUACCCCUAAUUCUACUGUCGGACACUUGUCCAUUUUUACAUCUCGUCUCACUUUUUCUUUUCUUUCGAGGUUCCGGGCACUUGCCCCUUUUUAUUUCCUUGUUUCUCUUUUUUCUCUCCUUUUUUUAGAGCACUCAUCUCUUGAUAUAAUAUUGCAAGUGGUAGUAACAAGAUAACUUGAGCAUUUAUUUCACAGGGGAAAAAUAGAAAUAUUUUUGGUUAUUCUCUCCCGGAUUACUAGAAUAUUUUUGGGUGGUUGUGGAGAUGGAAAUGGGUGGAUAUAUGUGGAUGGUACUUCCGGAGUAGAAGUAGCAUAUGUGAGUGAACGUGCAACUGAAUCUUGAUUUAACCACAUGACAAGCUCCUAAGGGUCUACACAGCUUGACCACACUCAAUGCUCAUAAGCAGUAAAAAGUAAAUGUGUGGCUCAAAGUCUAGCAAGCAUGUAUAUAUGGCUGUGGUAGGAAUUUAAACUCUCAUCAUACAGGAACUCAUCAUGCAAUAUUUUAAAGAUUUUCAAAGAUAAAAUUCUGUACAAUUCUAGCAUCUCUAGGAACAGAUAAACAGUAGCUCAACCUUCCCAUAUCAUAUCCGUUAACAACUUAGACUUCAGAUCAAGUUUUCUUCCUAGGUUUAGAGCAAGCUUUAAAUUAUAACAGUUAUGUCUAAACUUGAGAGAGAACUACAAAUUUUAAAAUUAGGUAGAGCAACUAUUCAUCAUAUCCAUGCUAGAGUUUUAUUAUUAAGAUUCAGAUUAGCAUAGCCACUUUAUUUAUUUAUUUAACAACCUAAGCAAAAGAUAUAUAUAUAAGCACAAAAAUUUUUAUUUGGUUUUUCAUAGUUAUGUAUAUCUAUAUUUUAAUAUAGUAUAAGUAUAAAGAUAGAUUGAAAUACUUACCAGGAUAAAUGGGGGUGCUCUUCCCCAAGCUGAAUUUUGACGUAAUUUCUCUUUAUGUAGCUAGCAGGUGGCAGAGGCGUAUUUGAAAGUCAGCAGCAUUCUGACAGCGAUUAGAAUGUCCUCCGUCUGCUAGUCUUCUUGAUUCUUGAAUUCUGUGGAGCUCAAAUAGACAACAAAGCUUCGUGGAACUAAUUAAGUGUUAGCAUAAAUAUCUAGCCUUCAUCAUGUUGAGACUCCUCAAUAAAUGUUACUCUCUAUCUUUAUAUUUUCAUUUUAUAAAGCAGAAAAAUAUUUAUUUUAUUUUUAUGCCACCACAGUGAAUGUACUUAUGGGUUUUAUGCCACUCGUAUACUCACAUGGGGCUUACUGUUUUUUAAUAUUUUUAUUUUUUUAGGAUAGUAUGAACAUAAUUAACUAAGUAAACUAUUUUAAAAUAAUUGAAAGGAAAGGAUAACUACCAAGUUUACCUCUUGGCAAGGCGUUCGGUGUUUUUAAGUCCUCUGAACGAUAGUCUCCAUUUUCUCUAUUGUCCUGGGAUUCCUUGGGUGGCGUAGUCGGUACUUCUGGCAGUGCCUCCUCUUCAUGUAUAGUUAUCUUCUCUUUCCACACCUGACUCAGUGCUACGGUCUCCUCUAGAUAAUUCUGUUUAAACUGUAUGUCUUCUGACCUUACAACUUCUCCUUCAUAGUCUGCCCAUCCGUCCUUGAUGAUUUACCUUCUCUGGUUGCGGUUGCGUCGUUUUCUGACCUGCUUAGAGUCUUCAACGAUAUAGUUAGGGUCAGUAAAACAGCAGCGUACCUUCUCCGAGGGGAAGUGCAUAUGGACUUCUCCAGUUCCAAUGUAGAUGAUUGCUUUAACGGUGCUGAGGAACGGUCUUCCAAGGAUGAUGGGUGGAUCAUACUCAUCUUCUCCCAUGUUAAUAACCUGAAAGUCUGUGUAGACAAAAUGAUCGUCUAUUUUGACAGGGACAUCAGUUACUAUUCCUUUAACCUCUCGAAAUGUUUGAUCUGCCAUCUGUAGCUGAAUGUAUGUUGGUUUUAGGGGCAUGGCUCCGAACAAGAGCCGAUAGGUGACUGCGGCCAUUAUGUUGACGCCCGAUCCGGUGUCACAAGUCGUCUUGUAGAAGUUGUAUCCAUUUAUGGAGCAAUAGAUGCUUGGCAUUCCUGGGUCGUCCUUCUUGGUCAGACACGGUGACUUAAGUUGAUGAUCUUGACCUCCUUGAACUGCAGUGACCAUCUUAGCUGACUCGGUCCAUACUUGCUUGUUCCUAUUCCUCCUGUUGGUCCUCUUCCUUGAUUCAUGUCUGGAUUGAUCUGGGAUUUGUGUAGUCUUGUUCUUGAAGGAAAACGUCUCCUUCCUCCCUUUGAUGUAGAAACUGAUCUUGGCAACACUAGCGUAGAUGACAGCUCUCGAGGUGUUCAAGAAUGACCUCCCUAAGAUGAUGGGUGCUCUCUCAUCAUUACCGGUCUCUAUCACCACAAAAUCUGCUAGGGCAUACAAGGUACCAACUCGGACACAAAGGUUCAUUAAUAUUCCUUUUGGAAAACUUAUCGCCUGAUCUGCAAACUGCAAACACAUGGUUGUCUCUAAUAAAGGAUAUGUAAAGAAUUUUUCAUAGAGUACCCUGGGUAUAAUGUUGACGCUGGAGCCAAAGUCACAGAGUGCUUCUGGGACGUCCACCAUGCCGAUGGAAAUUGGGAUGACGGGGCGUCCUGGAUCGCCUCUCUUGACCGGCAGAAGGUCAGUAGUAACUUCAGUGACGGGGUUACUCCAGUAGUUACCUGCAUUAAACAUGUCUACAAGAUUUGCAGAUUCUAAUCCUUCCGGUUGUGAUGGUAUACCAGGGUUAGUAGUAGGAACAGCAGCAGCUAUUUGAUUUAACUGAAAUUCAAUAAUUUUAUUAAAGCUAAUUUGAUUCAUGAUGGCAGUAGAGAAAUUAUUUAUUCUGUUGUUUAUAUUUUCUAACAUUUUAUCAUUAGAUGCCAAUUUCUUAGAUAGGUUAUCCAUUAGCUUUCCUUGAUUAGACACUAACUCUCUCAGAGGUGGAAAAUUAUUGUUAUUGUUGUAAGAAUUGUUACCUUGAUAAUUACCUGAGUAGUUAGGCCUCUAUUGAUUCCAACCUUGAUUUUGUUGAGGACGGUUGUAGUAGUUGUUGCUAUUAUUGUUGAUGUAGUUCACAUCCUCAAGUAUCUCAGGGCAGUGAUUGCCUGAGUGUCCAGUAUCUCCACAUUCCUCACAAGUCAUGUGAGAGUCGUAGAUGUGCAUAACUUCCUUCUUAUCUUCAGCUCUAUCAUCAAGCUUCUUCAUGAGCAGGUCUAGCUAUGCAGACAGCAUGUCUACCUCCUUGAGCUGAUGCAUACCUCCACCUCUCUUGCGUGUGUGGGUCCUCUCUUCAUUCCAGCUUUGGUUGGACGCCAUCUUCUCCACAAGAGCUGUGGCUUGUGGUAUGGUGAGUGAUAAGAAUGCUCCUCCAGCUGCAGCAUCCAUGGUUUUUCGGGCACUGUUGCCGAGCCCAUGAUAAAACGUCUGCAUCAGUAGCAAACUCUCCAUUCCAUGAUGGGGACAUUCUAGGAUGUAGUCUUGGAAGCGCUCCCAUGCUUCUGGAACGGAUUCAUCAUGUUGUUGCUAAAAACUUAUAAUCUUCCCACGGAGAGCAUUGGUCUUGCCCAUGGGAAAGAACUUAGCCAGAAAGUUUGUUGAGCAGAGUGCCCACGUAGUAUUCUUCUCCUUUGUAGCAUAGAACCGCUGCUUUGCUCUCCCCAACAGUGAGAAUGGGAAGAGGCGAAGUAGUAUAGCAUCUCUGGGGACUCCUGAUAUGGUGAAUGUGUUGCAAAUCUCCACGAAGUGUUAGAGAUGAGCACUAGCAUCUUCGUGUGCCUUCCCACAGAACUGGUUGGAUUGCACUAUGUUGAUAAGUCCAGGCUUGAGCUUAAAGUUGCCAUCGAUCUCUGCAGUAUAUUGAAGUAAAACAAAGUCAUAUUCAUAAUAUUAAAGAACAAAGAUGAUUAGAGAACAAUUAGAAGAACAAUUAGAGAAUUACCAAGAAUCCUCUUGACAGAUCCGGAAACCAAUCAAAGAUUGACUCCUUCUAGUUCUAAUCCUAUGUAGCUAUGCUAAUCUAGAUGUCUAAUUGAUGUGGUGGCUCUAGGCUUGAUCAGAGGCUUCUUCUCCCUUCAGGAAUAUUGAAUUAGGGUUGAGAGGCUCUCUCCUCCAGGGGUCAGGGGGUCUGGUUUUAUAGUCCCUUCAAGUGAAUAUGGGUCGUUGGAUCAAACCGACAUUGAUUGAACGGUUAUCCUUGAUCGUUUAGGUCGGUGGAGAUCUUUCCCGAAAGAGAGUCCUGUUUGGACUCCAGGAGGGGGCGGGCGCCCAGGUCAACUGGGCGGGCCCCCAGUGCCUGGCCCCGUUCGGCCUCCGCUUCCAUCCCGUGGCUUCUGGAGUCUUCUAGAUAUAAGAUAAUUGCGCGGCACGUUGAUAUCUCUAUGUAAUCCCGACGUGUGGGCCUUUCUUCCAUAUUUCCUCAUAACCCCCUGUAGAAAUAUAUAAACACCAAAACUCGUGGAAUUCUGUCAGAUAAAACCUUAAGUCUAGAUGUUGAUUUCAUUUGGAUCCUUUUCUUUGUUUAUUUGUUUAUUAAAUUUGAUACUUAAGGACCGUCAUCAGCCCCCAAGGGACGCGAGGUUGGCAGAGGAGUAGCUGCCCCCUGCACGCAGGCCGAUCCGCUGCUCAUGGUUAACAAGUUGGGUGAACAACUCGUGCACCGAGAGCGGCUCGACGCGCAGGGAAACAGCGGACACGACCGGGUCGAAUGGUUUAUCCAACCCAGUCAGAAUGUAUGAGAUCAGGUCGUCAUCGUCGAGCUUCUUUCCCGCAGCCGCCAUCUCAUCGGCGAGAGCCUUCGUUUUACCGAAGUAUUCAGUGAUUGUAGACGUUCCUCUGGACGCAUUGGCCAGAGCCAUGCGCGUGGCGAUGACUCGCGCCCGUGAUUAGGCUGCAUGGAGCCCUUGGAUGGCAGCCCAUGCGCCGGCCGCCGUUGUCUCAGAAUUCACUUAACCGAAAAUUUCUUUAGAGAGGCCACUCAACAGGUAGCUGAGAACCUGCUGAUCUUGAGCCUUCCAGACAGCGUAGUCUGGAUUUGGUGUAGAUUCAUCCUUGCCCUCGGCAUUUUUUUUUUGUGAUGGUUGGGGGUGGAGGUGUGGUGUUUGGGUUGGAGAUGAGCAGCCUGAGCGCCAUUGAUGGCUGGGGUGACCUGGGCUUUCCAGGAUUGGUAGUUGUGGCGGGUUAGUUUCUCGGAGAUGGGGAUGAAUGCUAGGCCGAGGGAGAUAGCAGUCGGAAGCGAGGAUGAGGAGAAAGCCAUGGAGGAUCGAAGGAAAGUUCCGUAGGGAUUGUUUUAGGCUGAUACCAUGUAAAAUGAUAUGCGGUAACGAGUUAGCCUUUGUGGCAUCACUCGGUUGCAUGUUUAUACUGGAUGAGGAAUAGCCCCCCACCGGUGGCUCUUACAUGUGUCAGUUGUACAACAAGUUUAGGAUGGACCAAUGCUUGGUCGUUACAUGCACCUGAAUACACUCUAACACCACAUGCUAACAUUGAGUCAUUCUAACCACACGUUAACAUAUGAAUCAUUCUAACACAUGCACCUGGAUACACUCUAACACCACAUGCUAACAUUGAAUCAUUCUAACCACGCGUUAACACAUGAAUCAUUCUAACAUCGUCAAAAACUUCAACUACCAGCAACAGACUGCGUGCGUGUCAUGGAUGACGGCGGCGGGCGCUAGCGCUACUAUGGCAACAGCAUCGGAGUCGGAAUCAUCGGAUACCGUCGUCAGCGCCUACGACCUGCGCCGGAGCCACCACGAUUUCUUCUACGGAUAUUUGGUAGUUCGACGCCUGCCGCGAUCAGACGUCGUGGUGCAAUUGCAAGAGACGACGGCGGCCAAGGCUUCUUUCACCUGAACUCCUACCACUACCAAUGAUCUUUCAUGGGUCGGCCAUAUUGUUGAUCUUUGCGAAAUGCACAAUACAUCCAGAGGUCAAGUGGGGUGACGGCAGCACGUCAAAGGUACGCACACGUACUGUACGAAUUCGAUGACCAUACUGACAACGAUGACUCUUGUUGACCAACAACUACUACUAUCCAUGCAUGAUGCAUGUUGCAUGCAGGUGUUGCUUCAUGAGAUAGCUCUCGUAAAACCACGAAAGCGUUGGUGACAUGCUCCACGAGAUAGGCGAUUGGGUGGACGAGGAUGACGCCUUUGACAAUUCUCACCCCGACACGCGCUCGAGAACCGCGGCAGGCUGCCGGGGGCUCUUGGGGUCCGGUCGGACCGAAUUCUGGGUCCCGCAAUUUUCCCACCGAGUUUGGAGACUGUUUCUCGUUGAGCCGUAUGGUGUCAUCCACUCUGAAUUAUUAAGCUGAGCCCGCUAGAACUGUUCUUCAACUUUUCGCGUGUGUGGAGAGUUGAUGCUGCCACCUGACACACAGUCCACCUCAAUCAACAGCCUAGCUCACUGCUGACACCUGACGCACAAUCCACCUCACUCAACAGCUUAGAGCAACCUCAAUGUAUAUGGACCAAGUAGUCCAUAUACAUGGGGCCUACAUAAGUAGUCCAUAGCUAUUAUUAUUUGCUCACAAUAUUCAGCCAACAAAGUAGUCUAUAAGAUGGGGUCCACUAGAGAUUAAAAAUUAUUCUUUCCAACCAUCUCAUGUAUCAUGACACAAGAGAGAGAGCAUAGAGAGAAAAAAUAACAUUUCUUUAUUGCUUAUGGGUAGUCCAUAGGGCUAUGGGUACCUUUUGUUAUAGACUGCUAUAUGGACUAUCUCCACAGUGUUUCAGCUAGCUGAUAGAGAAUAUUUUAUUUUCUAUGGACUACUUUGCUACUACAUUGUGGUUGCUCUUAGCUCACGAAUGCACGUAUACUUCCAACAAACUAAAAAAAGUCAUAACUUCAAAACUAAAUAUCCAAAUUAAAUUUCGAUUUCACCAUCAGAUUUCUUAAAAUAAAUCCUUCAAAACAAGAUUCCACAUGAAUAUAUUUAGACAAAAAAUUAUUAACGAGCAUUUCUCUUAUGAAGAUAGAACAUUUUUUAUUGAGUAGGGACAAUGUUGAUUUAAGGAACAUUCCGUCUUCGUAUGAAAAAUAUUCUCGGUUUAGAAAAACAAAAUUUUUCAAACAGUAGACAAUGUUCUAGGUUCAAAAAAUAAUAAUGUUCCGUCUUUAUAAGAAGAAUGUUCUCGGUUUAGGUUCAUAAAAUUAGUAUUGUAAUAUACGUAAAAAUAAAUAAAUAAUACAAAUAGAGAUCAAUGAAAUCCAGAGCAAAGCAUAUGGAAAAAAUAAAAAUACGUAGUAGAGAAAAUUUAAAAGAAUACCAUAUGGAUACUUUUCAAACAUUCUAAAAUAUAUUAUAGGACAUUACAUGCGAACUAAGUGAACAUCACUCAAUAUAAUAUAGAACAUCACAAGAAACAUAAUAGAACAAUACAUCUAUACUACAUGAACAUCACAAAAUACAAUAUAGAGCAUUAUUAUAUAUUAUGUGAACAUCACAUGUAUACUAUGCGAACAUCACAAAAAAAAUAACAAAACAUCACAUCUAUACCACAUGAAUAUAAACAAAAUAUAAUAGAACAUGUAACACAUGAGUAUCACAUAAAAUAUCGUAGAACAUCACAUGUAUACUACAUGAACAUCACAAAACAUGAUAUUAUAAUCAUGUGGAUAUCACAAAAAACAUAGUAGAAUAUCACAUCUAUACUAUAUGAGCAUAGAAAAUAGAAAAAUUAAAUAUAAAACAUAAUUAAGUAAGAUAAAAUCACAAAAAAAAUAUAUGCAGAAAACCUAAUGACAAAAGAGAAAAUAAAAAAUAAAAAAAAUGAAAGGUCACACCAAACAAAAAAUAAGCAAAAAAAUAAAUUGAAAAAAGAAAAUAAGAGAUAAUCAGAAAAUAAUGGAAAAGAAAAGAAAAAUAAGUUGAAGCUAUAAAAAGGAAAUAAGAAAAAAAAAGAAAAAGAAAAGAAACGAAAAGAAAAACAAAAUAAAGAAAAAAAGUACCAAGAAAAUAGAAAAGAAACAAAAACAAAAGAAAAUAAACAGGUAGGAGUGAAAAGUAAAGGAAAUAAAGUAAGAAAAAAGAAGAAAAAGAAAAAGAAAAAGGAAAGAAAAAUAAAAAUAAAAAGAAAAAAAAGAAACAUACCUACUUAACUGAAGAAUCGUCACGUGUGUACGUGAACCACGCCUGCCUGCUCACGUCCGCAUGUGGGAAUCAGGCGGGAAAACACUGCGCGGGAAUCAUCGGACGAGCGCUUCCGUCCGAACGUUCGGACCGGAAGAAUCCCGCAGGCUGCCACGGUAUCUAUACCUUACAUCUCAAUUGUUUCCUAGCUAUCACAUUUUUUUAGAUAAUGGAUAGAUUAUAUCCGCCUUUAUCUAUUAACUGAUAAAAUCAGUCUAUUUAUUACAAAGUAUAAUCCGAGGGCACAUAUAAGGGCUACAAAUAAAACUAGUUUACAGCCAAACAAGUGAAUAACCGAAAUGAAAAUAAAGUUUUAACUAAACAUGACCAAUAUAUCUAGUUGACAACUAUCCAUUGUAACUAAACAACUACAGAGCCGACAUCUCUAGAUGCCAUCCAACUAGGGUUAGCAGAUACUUCCUCUAUUCUAAAUAGUAAAUUAUUCUAACUUUUUUGAGAGUUAAAACAUCUCAAGUUUAACUAAAGUUAUAGAAAAAUUGCAAUAAAUUAUGACAAUAAGUAGGUAUAUAUUAUGAAAGUGUAACUAAUGAAGAAUGUAAUGAUACUCCCUCUAAACUGGUAAUUCCGAUCAUUUUGGACAGAGUCACGGUCUCCAAAGCAUAACUUUGAGUUCUUGUUUUUAUAAAAAAUAUUUAGUGGAAAGUGUUAUAUGUAUAUUUUUAUGAAAGUACUUUUCAAGACAUUUAUUCAUAUGGUUUUCAUAGUCCAAACUUAAGGACUUAAAAAUUAUUUAUGUUUUUGUAAUACCCGAUUUUAAGAACAAUACCAGAUAUACACCAUAUGUGAGUCUUAAAGGCCAAAUCUCACAUAUAGCUACAAGUAAGGGGUAAUAUCAAAAGACAAUGCAUAAAUAUAUAACGUACUUAGUAUAAAAGAGAUAACCUUUAAUAGCAAACAACGGAUAGACAACUCCAAACUUCGGGUAUUAACUUCUCUCUAUAGGAUCCAACGGACUGGUUGAUCACAAGCCUAAACUUCUCGUGAAGGGUGGGGGAAAUAGCAAGAGUGAGUCCAUGUCGAACUCCACAAGUAUAGCAACUAGAUUGUAUAGAUCCCACAAACUCAUGAUCAAUGUGACAUAAAUAAUGUAGAGCAUUAAACAAUAAAUAAUGAGUAUAUUUAACACACAAGAAUCAUCACCGUCGAUGCAAGAAUCUCCAUGGCCGCUCUUGACCGUGAGCACGGCUAGUAUACUAGUUUUUAACACUCUGCAGAGGUUGUACAUCUUUACCCAUGAGUCAUGAUUUACCCUUUCGCCCGAGGUGAUCAGCCUCUUAACCCACUUCCAAGAAAGGUCGGCAGGGAUCACUAUGAAGCCUUUCAAAAGUUCGUCUAACAUGUUAAGGCCGCAAGGUUUCCUUUGCGCGUAGAUAUAGAGCCCCCCUUCCGAUGGCACAAUAACGCGCAGCCUAUACACAUACAGACAGAGGCCACACUAUACCUAAAACGGUUCAGCCCCUCCGCCGUUUCGGGUAACCUCUAACAAGCUAGAAAAGGUCUUCAUACUGAGCUAAAGCCUGAGCCAUUAUAGCCCUCAUAGUUACACUGUUGUCCCGGUUAUCACUUACAGAUAAAUCAUCAAGUUGCUAAAAAGUCAUUUUUAUCAUUUAUUACUUAACAUUAAUCUAGUCACAAGAUCAUGGUCACAGAAUAUAAAACCUAAAUACUAUACUUGCCUUAAUCCAAUUGCUCUUGCUUAUCCUUUUGAUCCUGCUGGUCUCACUUGUCCAAGGCUAUGAUCUUGAUCACCAAAACUGCUUUCCGACUAAACUCGAUCAUCAACACACAACCAACCGGAGAAAACAUACACGAAGCAAACAAGGCUACAAUUAGAACAGUACACCAAUCAUAUAAUAACAGUAUAGAGAGUUCAUAAAAAGAUUCUAUGCAGCGCUACGAUAUCAUAGACGUAAAGAUCAUGAAAAUCAGAGCUAAAACGGAGAAGUUAUGAAUUUUCUAAGGUUUUCUUUAGAAAAAUAAUUAAUUAAUUAGGGUCACGAAAAUAAAAAGUUUCAAACUGAGAAAACAAUGUUACUAACAUGUAUAGCUCAUUAGUACGAAUCCAACGCAAUUUGAAUGGGUCAAAUCAGAGUUAAAAUGAAUAUUUUAUGGCCAAAAGAAAGUCAGUGGCAAUUUUGUAAAUAGUGAAAACGUAUUUUUAAUCGGUUAGCUGUUUGUAUUUUCCAAACUGAAAGAUAAAGUGAUUUGGGCUUACGUUGGUGGAUAGGGAGUAGGUUCACCGGCAGUGACGCUUUCUUGGAGCUACAACAGCGCCGGAGCAGCCGACGGUUCGUAGAUGUCGUGUAUAGGCGAGACGAUGGCGAUCACGUUGUAGAGAAGAAAAUAUAAAUUUUAUUUUACUACCUUAGGAAUUCUCAAAUUAGAGGUUUCCCAUAUGAUAGUCUUUGAUGUGCUUUGCCUAAGGGUUGGUACAUAUAUAUAGGGAGAAAAACUCCCCACCUCCACGUCAACUAGCGAUAUGGUACUAAUUGAUGUUGCAACCUCCAUCUUUACUAAUAGGCCUAAUUAAUUAUUAAAGCCCAUUAGUAAAUAAAGACAUUGACCAUUGAGAUCAUGGGCUUAAGCGUGGGAUAAAAUGAAAGUUUUUAUUAUUUUCGAAAUUAAUUAAUUUGGCGAAUAAAAUAAUCCUAGAAAAGUCCAGAAUUAUGAUUUAAGCCAUGAAAAAUACUCCGAAAGCUUCGAAAAUUCAGGAAAAAUUCUCAGAGAUAUUAUAGAACAUGGGGAACCCGAAUAAAGCUUUUGGAGCUCAUGAGAAGAUUGUUUGGAGCAUCUAAAAAUUAGAUCAUGUUCACAGAAAAGUGAGAACAGAAGGUGAAAAAAAUUCCUGAAAAAAUUGUAGAGAGUGCUUGAUGGACGAGGAACUAAAAGAAGUGCUUUGAGUGACAAAGAAAAUAUUUUAGGAAGAUCCUAAUAAAAAUUUGAGCUUAGAAACAAGGAAUUUGGUUGUAGAUAAAAGAUAAAUACGUGCCGAAUGAAGAUCAAUCUACUAAACGUAUUUUAAAUAUUUUUCUUACUAUGAACACAUAAAGGAGCAACAAGCAUGACAUCAAAACAUAUACACCAGCAUGUAUGCAUAAUAAUAUUGCUAAGCCUUAUGAUAAAUUUUAAUUUAAUGAAAAAUAUUAUUUUUCCUAUAUUUUCAUGAGCACAAAAAUACAAAAUUAAAUAAUUUUAUCUAUAUUUCAAAAGGAGUAAAUUUUAGGGUGUUACAAUUCUAUCCCCCUUAAGAUGAAUCUCGUCCUCGAGAUUUGGAAGACGGUUAUCAAAGAGACGUAGAUUUUGAAUCUUGUUCACUUUCUUGAGUAGUUAUAUCUUCAUAGCUAUGAUUCCACUCUCUUACUUCAAGUAGCCUCUCAAGUAUUCCUAAAAUAUUGACGAGACACCUAGUGUAGUAGGUACGAUUCUUCUUUAAACUUAUUUCUCCUAUCCUUCUUAGACGCUACACAUCAUAUAGUCUUUUAAAUUUGCUGUACCGAGUCUCUUGAUCCAAGGUUAGUUUCAUCACUAAGUUCCAAUUAUUGGUACCUUUAUCACAGUUAAGUUGCUUCACUCUCACACUAUACAUACAACUCUGUAGACUUUGGUGUCAUCUGAUCCUCAUACACAACUCUUAAUCCAUGAGUAUCAGUAAUGACAUAAACCUCCAUUGGUAUUAGCACACUCCAAAUAGAAUGAUAUCUUGAAACAAACCAACAUACCAAGCACUUGAUGUCCUUGUAGAUAUUCCAGUUAUUAACCACUUCUUCUCCUUGUAGUUCUUUAAUUGGGCUACUCCCCUUAAGAAAAGUCAACUAGGGGACCAAGAAAGGUAGCUUGCAUACUUUCCAGACAAGUUAACAUUGGGAACUUCUGACAUCCCAAAGAACUUAUGUGCAGUGGAGCAAACAGGUAUCCUGAAAUUUCCUCGCGAUAUGAAAAACAUCAGCGUAGUAAAAUACAUAUAACUCUUAUUCUGUUAAUUCAAUAGAGUUGUAGCUUAUACCAUCAGAAAGCUUAAGAAUUUCCCUACAACUUUCAUGUAGAAAACCACCUUAAGUUCUGUCUUUAAGCUUAGGUAAAAUGGCCAAACUUAAAUUCCAUCCUGAUAAUGUCUUAGCAAAGGUGCAGUAAAUUCCAGAAAUUAUAUCUCGAGCUACUUAACUCAUCUGGAGAUGAUCCUUACAUUUUUGAAAAGCUUAGGAAAUCCUCUACAACUUUCGUAUACCAUGUUUUCCCAGAUUCUGUCUUUAACUUGGCCGAAAAUAGGGAAUACCAAAACUGUCCAGACUUUGAUACAGAACAGAAAGAUCCAAUUGUAAAUAUCAUAUCUCAGGUUCUACUUAGCCAAAUAAGUUCCAGCUUAUACCGUUGGAAAGCUUAGCAAGUUGUCUAUAACUUUUCUAUAGAACACUUUUUCAAAUUCUAUAGUUAUAUUUGUCUCAAACAGCAAGUUCCCGAAACUGAUCCAGAUUCUGGACAGCACAUCUGUAUCAUCUUGUGAUUUUUGUAACUUCCAAACCAUAAUAGCUAUGAGGGUGAUUCUUGCGGUCAGAGAAAGAUCUUGAAGUUUAGUUGUUUCCACGAAAAGUUGAUAGACUUUGCAUGAUCAAAACUUGAGAUACACCAGCAUUAUUGUAGACUGCUCCAGAAAUCAGCAAGGGAUAGAAAUCGGAUAUAACCAAACCCAACUACUUAUUUCACUACUCCUUAUGCCUUAGGCCUAUAAACUAAAUGAUAUUGUAGAGAAACCCCACAAAAUCAUUGCACUCAUUAUAAAGAUCCAAAUCAAGCAUAAACAUAAUAACAAACCAAACCAAGCAUCAAAGGUACACUCUUCAAGCAUUGACUCAACUUGCGGUACUAUCGUUCUCUUCCUGUUAUGGGUAAAGAUCCUAAAACUUAUGUUUCAAAGACGCAAGAAGGGUAAGAAAAGGUUCUAAUAGCAUACUGAAUCAAGGAGUGAAGGUGAGAACAUGUACUUUUAAAAUAAGCAACAAGGUGGAGACAAAUAGCAAGGAUAGGGAUAUAGUAUGGAUGAAAAUACCAAGGUUUAUAGAGCAAGGAUUUUAUGACAAUUCCAAAACCGUAAGACGACUGAUUUCUAACUAGGCUUGCGUCCUACAGUCAGCAUUGCUCUGAUACCACUUUGUAAUACCCGAUUUUAAGAACAAAACCAGAUAUACACCAUAUGUGAGUUUUAAAGGCCAAAUCUCACAUAUAGCUACAAGUAAGGGGUAAUAUCAAAAGAUAAUGCAUAAAUAUAUAACGUACUUAGUAUAAAAGAGAUAACCUUUAAUAGCAAACAACGGAUAGACAACUCCAAACUUCGAGUAUUAACUUCUCUCUACAGGAUCCAACUGACUGGUUGAUCACAAGCCUAAACUUCUCCUGAAGGGUGGGGGAAAUAGCAAGAGUGAGUCCAUGUCGAACUCCACAAGUACAACAACUAGAUUGUAUAGAUCCCACAAACUCAUGAUCAAUGUGACAUAAGUAAUGUAGAGCAUUAAACAAUCACUACACCACAACACUUUUAUAGCGUCAGACAUCUGACGCAAAAUCUUUUUUUUUGCAGUUAGACGAUCUGACGCUAAACAUCGCCCAGAGACCAUCUGACGCUAAAUCUGAAUUUAGCGUGCUAUUAUCUGACGCUGUAGGUACUUAUAUUCAGAGUCUAGCUAUCUGACGCAAAAACAAGGUACACCGUCCACCUCUCUGACGCAAAAAAUAAUGGGCCCCACCCUCGCUUGCCUGUCCGCGCUUAGUUUUCUCUUUUAGAAACACUAGUACAGAGAAGCUCUAAGCUGGCGGUGGAAUUUAAUUUUUACAAGUGUAAAAAUAAAUUGACGGGCCCAACUCAAAAACUGCCCGUAGAAAUCAUGUAUUUCUUCAUCGUAAUUAAAUACAAGUCAUAUAAGAUUUGUUCCAUGAUAAACUUUUUUAUAUCAAUAUCUAAAAGAAAAAAUAUACAAGACUGACAUUUCUUGUAAAAAUAUUUGUAGCUAGCGAUAGGUAGCAAAGCACGGCAGCAAAGCAAACCACCGUGCCUCUCUCUCUCGUCUCGUCUCUGCGUUGCGCCGCUCCUUAAACAAACGCCAGGAGAAGGCUGCGGCACGCGUCCCCCUCCGUCUCCAGCCUCCACCCAUCUCAAAACCCUAGCAACCGCGCCUCCAUCCCUACCCGAAUCCCAAUCCAAGCCCGAUCCCCCGGCGGCGAGGACCCCUCCGCGCCGAUUCGUCCACGCAGAUCGGCGGGCGGGGGCAGAUUCAGAUUCGGGUUCGCGGUUCGCUCGGGUCGUCUCGCCGGGGUCCACCGCGGCGGUCGGGGAGCUCUUCUGGGCGCCCGCGCCGCUCACCACCAAGUCCUGGGCGGACGUCGAGGACGACGACGACGACGAUUACUUCGCCACCACUGCGCCGCCGCGCCCCGUCUAGGGCACUGCCGACGAGCCCGUCAAGGAGGAGGAGGACGUCGAGGAUGUUGUGCGGGCCGCCGAUUUUGUUGUGGAAUGUGCCUAUGAUGUUCUUAUACCGUCAUAUAGGUUAAUUUGUGUUUGUCUAUUUUCAGAUAAAAAUGAUUGCAGGUUUAUACAAAAACAAAAUGGAUAGCUUCAUUUAUAUUUGCGUACCCAGCCCAAAAUGGUCUCAUGUUUAGCGGAAUGAAAUUUUGGGAUAGUUAUUGUAGGUUUGCCUCUUGACUUUUUCUUUUUUUGCCUAUACAAUCUGCUACUUGCCAGCCUUCUUUUCUGGAUGCCUCUUUUCCAACCUUAUUUAUAUAUAUAGAUGCUAAGGUCUGUGCUCUUUUAUAUCCAUUUUCUUAUUGUUGUAUGAUAAGCUGCAAUUUAAACAUAGCUUCUCCUUUGAUGAUUUGGUCAUUCCAGUCAGAAAAUUUUGGUCUUCUCCUGCAGGUUGUGGUCAUUUAAUGUUACUUUCAUUUUUCAUGUACCUUUUUAAGCCUUCUAUAUCCCCUUUCAAUUUCAGUUUUCAUUUGUUUUCGAAAUGGAAUGACUAUAGUUCUCAUAGAUGCAGCUUUACUCAUUGCUCCAUAUUAUUUCCUCAUUUCUUUUCUUUGUACAGCAAAGAAUAAGGUGAAGAUGGCGGACACAUUUGCUAUACACAGUAGAUCAAUACCUUCUGCUACUACUUGAUGAGAAUCUCCCCUAUUUAACUAGAUUAACAAUUACUUUAGUGUUUUGCCAAAUUCAUCAUGACUUUACUAUGUGGCCUCACCUCCAAUGCUAUUUGCUCAAUCGACGUAGCAUAUGGUAAAUGUUACACUGCAUCCUGUACACAUAAGCCUCGUAUAUUACUAGGUACAAGCAUUACAAAUCUUAUCUACAAAUACACACCUCCAUGCAACCAUGUAGUAAAAAAAUGAGUUUUGGCAAUGUGUUUUUUCCAUUAAUGUCUACAACAAGAAGUACGUACUUCACAUUGAGUAGACUAGCAAUGGGGCUCACAUUGCCAGCUACAAUGAUACAUGCUUCAAUUUGGAUGUCUUCUAGGCUUUAUAGUAUUCAAAGUCUGAAUAUGAAUGAUUCUUUGUGCAUGUACAAACUCAUUUUUCUGCACUACAGAAUUCUUCCAGUCAGAAUGAUGUGCCUAUAACAGUUAGUUGCUUAUGGUUGGUUCCUUUGUUCCUUGCAAGGCUUUCUGUUAAUCGCUAAUUAGGUUUGCACAACUAUCGUGCUGUUGACUGCUAAGGACCGUUUUAGAGGCAGUUCACUUAAGAAAACCGCCUCUGAAUUCUUAGAGCCAGUUCCUUUAAGUGAACCUCCUAUGAAUCUCUAUUUUCAGGAGCAGUUGUCCUUAGUGAGCCGACGAUGAAGAUCCAUGAUUUCCAGAGGUGGUUCACUUAACAGAACUGUACCAACAAAUAAGUUAUCGGAGACGGUUUGCUUAGUCAACCACCCCUGAAAAACUUACUCCAGACUCUUUCUUCUUCCUCGCGACCGAGCGCAACACCUUUCGUUCUUAGCUCUCGACGGCCGAAGAGAAACGGCAAGAGGAGAGGGGGAGGUUUUGGCCUUUCAACUUUCAAACAAGUUGGAAUUGUGGGGUGAGUCUCUUCAGCCAUAAAGCCUAUUGGAAUUUUGCAGAAACAUUAUAUUUGAUUCUACGCCGAGAUCUAUAUAGAGAGGGGGGAGCAAUUUGGGCUCUAAUUUGUUUUUUUAUUUAUUACAAGUAAUUUGGGCAAAAAUUUUUAUUUAGUGACACGAUAUCUUUUCUCAUGCAUGCUAGCUUUUUUUCUUUACAUUUAUAUAGGGUACUAAAUAUGGACCGGUCAUGGAUGUACAAAAAACGAAGAAACAAAGUCACCUACAUACAUGAAUUGAAUGGUUUCAGUGAAGCAGCUAAAAGACAUGCUUUGAUCAAGCAGACAAAGGAUAUAUAUUGACCCUGUUGUGACUAUAGAAACCAAAUAGUGCGCUAGGAUCCAAAUAAAAUAAGGUCACACUUGAUAAGAAGGGGUUUCAUGAAGAACUACGAGAUUUGGGAUCAUUAUGGUGAGAGAAGUACGAAGGCAAGGGCUACACAAGCACCAAGAGUUCGUGGAGUUGACAAUGCCCUUGUUUUCACGAUGCAUGAUGAUGUUAUAAGAGAAGACUUUGAUGGUGGUGGUGGUGGUGGUGGAGAUGACGGUUGUGACGAUGGAGGAGGAUAUGGUGGAGAGGAUGAUGAUGGUGAAGUCAACAACGAAGAAAAAGAGGACUUCCUAGAAGAUAUGCUACUCAAUAUGGAAAAAGAAUUACUAUUGAAAGGGCUAAAAAAAACUUGGAGGGAGUAAAGAAAGCAAUGAAAGAACGCUUAUAUCCGGAGGAACAGGGAUGUGAGAAAAGAUGGUCCUUGCUUUGUUUUUUGCUGGACAUACUGAUUUUGAAGGCUAAGUAUGCAUGGUCCGAUAGGAGCUUCAAUGACCUAUUGACUCUCUGGGCUGUUGUGCUUCCUAAACCAAACUUUGUGCCCACCAACACAUAUCAAGCAAAGAAGCUUAUCAGUCCACCUACAAUGGGUGUGGAACGAUUAUAUGCGCAUCCAAACCAUUGUAUCCUUUAUCGUGGGGUCUUCAAAGACCUAAUGAAUUGUCCGACGUGUGGUGCAAGUUGAUACGAAAGGAACGACAACAGUAUUGAGGAAGACAUGGGUACUAAGUGUAGAAAAAAGAGAAAGAAGUGUGGAAAGAAAGGAGACGCUACUAAGAAUGUUGAAGAAGAAAAUAGCACCCUAGGAGUGCUCACGUGUUCUCUUCUUGCUCCAUGAAGUGAUCUUCAUAUUUCACAAUCUUGCCAGGAAAGUCUUCCCAUCCACGGUGAGGCUGGGCAGCCUGACGGUGGGCUUGGCGUCUUCUCCUAUUGCGUUGCUUCCUGAUCUGCUCAUGGUUAACUAGUGUUCUAAAUUGACAGUGUACCUUUCUGGUAGGUAGGUUGAAGUGGAUAUGUCCGGAACCAAUGUAGAUGUUGGCGUUGGCUGUGUAGAGGAUUGGUCUUCCCAAGAGGAUCGAGGACUCAUCGUCUCCCUGCAUGUCAAAAACUAGAAAAUCUGCAGAUAUAUAUUGUCCUUGAAUUCUUACCAUGACAUCCUUGACCACUCCUUCAGGGAACCUUAGUGACUGAUCCGCCAUCUGCCACUGAAUAUAUGUUGGGUAUAAAGGUAAAUCAAAUAACUCAUCAUAUACCUAUUUUGACAUUAUGUUGCAGCCUAAUCCAGUGUCGCAGACGGCGUGAGCGAAGGUGGUGUCUUUGAUUGUGCAUUCAAUGAUUGGAACUCCUGGAUCAGAUCUCUUGGUUGGAAAUGGCUUGGGUAGCAUAUGAUCAUUCUCUGUGUUGAGAGCAGUGAUCAAUUGAGUUGUCUCCGCAGGUGCAUGCUUGGUCCUCCUCCAUCUUCUAUUGUUUCUAUUAUUCUUGUUCUUCGUCAUUGGUUGCUAUUCUUGCUCUUCUUGUUGAUGAAAUUACUUUGGGGCUGUAGGAGUUUUCAGGACACAGUUCUUGAAUGUGAAUCUCUCUUUCUUGUCCUUGAUGGAUAGGACGAUCUUGGCAUACUCUGCAUAGAUGAUGGCUUUUGUUGUGCACAAGAAUGGUCUGCCCAAAUCGAUGGGUGCCUUCUCAUCUACUCCUGUCUCCAUGACCACAAAGUAACCUAGGACAUACGGUUGCCCCACUCUAAUGACAACUUCUUCUAGUACUCUCUCAGGGUAGCAAAUGGACUGAUAUGCAAGCUUAGGCAUGAUGUUGACACUUGCGCCAAAAUCGCAGAUAGUCUCUGGAAAGUUGUGGCAUCCUAUAGAGAUAGGAACGACAGGUCUUCCAGGGUCUCCCAUCUUCUCUGGUAGAGAGUGGUCAAUCCACUGUACAUCUGCAGGCUCAAUAUGAUAUUGGGUUGCAUUGUGAAUGUCAACAAGGUUAGCAGUUUCUAAAUCUUCUGGUUGGCCUGGAAUCUUGCCUUUUUCUAAUGGAGGAACAGCAGCAACUAAUUGUGAUUCGAGCAUUUUAUUGAAACUAUGCUGAUUCUUUAUGGCAGAAGCAAAAGUAUCCAUUCUAGUAUGUAUGUUUUUCAAAGUUUUAUCAUUUGAUGUUAGUUUCCUAGUCAUUUGAUCUAGUAGUUUGGAUUGACUAGUAACUAAUUCUCUCAAAGGCGGAAGGUUAAAAUUAUUAGAAUUAUUACCUUGGUUGUUAUCUUGGUAAUUACCUUAUCGGGGUUGUUGGUUCCACCCUUGAUUGUUGAGGACAAUAGUAGGUAUUGUUGUUGAUGAAGCUCACAUCCUCUUGUAGCGUAGGGCAACUGACAGCUGAGUGCCCGUAGUCUCCACAUUCUUCACAUGUCAUAUAGGAAUCAUUGAUGUGCAUGACUUCCUUCUUCUCUAUGUCGAGCUUCUUCAUGAUGAGGUCUAGCUUGGCAGUGACCAUGUCAGCUUCCUUGAGAUGAUGGAUUCCUCCUCCUUUCUUCCGAGGUUGAGUACGUUCUUCAUUGCAUGUUGAAUUGGAGGCCAUCUUCUCCAAGUGCUUUCGCGUCUGAGAGCUUAAGUGACAGGAAAGCUCCCCCGGCUACAACAUCAAUAAACUCACAGGUACUAGAGAUGAGCCCAUGAUAGAAAGUCUGCAUUAACAGCCACUCCUCUAUCCCAUGAUGAGGAUAGUCUUCAAUGUAAUUUUAGAAUCUUUCCCAUGCUUCAGUGAAUGAUUGAUCAUGUUGUUGUUGGAAACUUACAAUCUUCCCACACAGAGCAUUUGUCUUGGCUGUACGAAAGAAUUUUGCUAGGAAAGCAGUCGAGCAUAGGUCCCAUGUAUUAUGUUUGUCUUCACCUAAAUGCUCUUAUGUUUGUUCUUCUACUUGUUCUUCAAACUCUUCUUCUAAUGUUGGAGUUGGCUCCUCUAAAGAGCUAGCUUGAGCAGAAGAGGGUGUUCUUGAUGGUGACUCAAAUUUAUCCCUUGCUUCAACAAACUUCUUCUUUCUAAGGAGUUUCUCUAGAUCUUCAGUAAAGUUUUUUGGAAGAGAAAAACCAUUUAUUCAUCACCCAACAUAAGAUAAGAAAAUGAUAACGACGAAGGGUGUACCUAAUUGAGUUAGAAAUCGAUUGGUAAUAUGACUUUAUCCAUGUGUAUAUAUGUUAUCAAUAUAUCCUAAGUUUAUUGUGCCUUCUAUUGAUGGUCCUUAAAUACCAAAUAUAAUUAGUAAAUAAAUAGAGAAAAGGAUCCAAAUGUAACCAACACCCAGACUUAGGGUUUUAUCUGACAGAAUUCCACGAGUUUUGGUGUUUGUCUAUUUUUGUAGGGGGUUAUUAGGAAAUAUGGAGGAAAGGCCCACACGUCGGGAUUACAUAGAGAUAUUAACGUGCACUGCGAUUAUCCAACAUCUAGAAGAGUCCAGAAGCCACAGAAACGAGCGGGAGGGCGAGCGGGCCCGGGGCAGGGUGCCCGCCCUCCCCCCUUGGGUGCUCGCCCUGGCCUGAGAGCCAAUCAGGCUCCGCCUCGCAGAUCAUGCUCCACCGACCUAAGAGAUUAAGAAAAACCGUGCGAUUAAGGUCGGUUUGAUCCGACGGUCCAUAUUCAUUUGGAGGGACUAUAUAAGCAGCCCCCCUGGCCCCUAGAGAGGAGGACCUGAGAAGCCCUAAUUCAUUCAUUCAUCUCGGGAGAAGAAGUCUUUGAUCAAGCCCUCGAGCCACCACAUCAACUAGAUCUCUAGUUUAGCAUAGCUACAUAGGAUUAGAACUAGAAGGAGUCAAUCUUCGAUUGGUUUCCAUAUCUGUCAAGAGGAUUCUUGGUAAUUCCUCUACUGUUCUUCAUUUUUUCAUCAUUGUUCUUCAAUAUUAUGAAUAUGACUUUGUUCUACUUCAAUAUAUUGAUUAUGACUUUGCUCUACUUGUUUAUAUUCGCAAUUAUAUCGUCCUUAGUUUGUCAUAGUUAUAUGCUUGGCUUAGUUAGAUUGGAUUUAUAUACAUGUUUAGGAUCAUAUAGCGUUUAUCCAUGUGUACAGUGGGUAAACGAUAAGUAUUGUGUAGGCGUGGUGUCUAUACCGUAUUUAUCUGCGAUUGUAUCCUAUAUGCCGAAUCGCGGGGUAGUUCGUGGUGGUGACAGCUCCUUUGAUUCUUAUAUAGUCCCCCUCUCGUGUAUAGGGUAGGCAGAACAACAUUAUUACAGGGGAGUGAUUGCUAUGUUUCUCAUUUUCCUUGAUAAUAUCACUAUGCAUGGGCGUAGUCAUGUCUCGCAAUGAUUGACAAGUAUAAUUGCACUAACUAUGAUAUGCUAGACUUUAUAGUUAAGAAUAACUUAGGAAAUAUUCUUGUAGUUCAUCCUAAUUCCAUGCUAAUGACUUGUGUUGACACUUGCUAACACCACUUGAAUACUAGGUUGUCAUCCCCAGCAUGGCACUAGAGUGUACUAUGGUAUUUAUACGCACACAGAUAAAUCCGCAAGCGCACGGAUACUGUUGUAGCUUUUACCCGGUUAAAGGUUUUAUCGUAUCCACAGGGAAACGGAAGAACCAACUACGCUCUAACUUAACCAAGAUAGAUAGAUAGGUGUAAAUAGGAAAGAUGGUAGAAUUGAAUAAGAACAAUAUUAAAGGUAAAAUGAUAAUGGAGGAAUAUAGAGUAGAGCAAUCUAAUAUAUGGGUGAUAAUAGGAGAAUAGAGAGAAUAACUAUGGUUUCUCUACUUCAAAAGGGUAUGUGAUAUGACCAUGCCACCAAGCAAGAUGUCACAAGCUUCAAGUCAAUCUACAUCCACUCAAGUUUCACCUACACCGACACCAGCCCAAGUCAUCGAUGGACCGAUUACACGUAGUCGUGCAAAUAAGCUACAACAAGAGGUAUAUAGAAGAAGAGAAGGAUAAAUCGGACCUGAAGAACAGACCAGUGCAAGUUCCAGAAGAAGCCAAAAACGGACCAGUGGAAGCCAAAAACGGACUAGUGUAAAGAAAUCUUCAUAACUUUUUAGUCACAAAAGCUAGGAAGGUCUAUGAGGACUUGUUGGAAAUCUUGUCGAGUCUACUUUCUAAUAAAUCUAGUGGCGACCAGUUUGGAUACACCAUAUUGCCUGCAGACCAGAAUUAGUAUAGACUGCUCAGAAGGUUAAUAGUCUGUCAUGACAGAAUGUUGGUACAACUUGCCAAGUAAAACUGUACCAAUCUACAAUGUUUCGAUGGAAAGCCCUUUGAGUCUAGUUUCACACCCAAGAAACGGUUCAUCAUUUGGACUUCCCAAUAAGAAGUUAUGGUCAGUUUAUUGGAAACUGCUCUGGAGGCCAACAGUCACGCGAAGCCACUUCAGGAAUCCAUUCCGAGGGGACCUUUCACAUUGCCUUCCCUCAGAAACUCUAUUUUGUUUUCAUACCUAUCUAGCAGGGCUGUUGCUAGUAUAAAUACUCCCUAAGACUCAUUGUAAUCUAUGACUUUUGAUGAUUGAAAUACAGAACCCCUUUGUUCAGCUGCGUGCUAACAAAUCUAGAGAGUGAUCUCUACCCCUUUGCUCUUGUGAUUUCCUCGUGGGAUUACAUAGGCGGUGGCUUCAUCCGCUCCCAAUUGGUGCUCCUACUCCCUUCAAGGUAUUCCUUGAUUGAUUGUAGGCUAUGUUGGUUGGUUUCUUGAGAGUGUGGUUGGGCGAAUCCUCGAUUCAGGUUGCCAGUUAAAGACGGUGGUUGGCUUCGAGUUUUAUUUGCCAGGUUACACUAGUUAUCGCUGCUUGCUGCAAGUUAUCCGGCUGUUCUUCAGCUAGUUAUCGGUGUUCAUCCUAUGUCGUGAAGAUCGGGACAACGUGACACAUCAUCUGAUAUCAAAGCUUUCGUUACCACAGUAGGAAUUUUAUCCCUAGCUACAUAUAUAUUUUUGCUUUGUCCUAUCCACCAAAAAGCCAGAAAAAUAUAUUGCUUAGACCUUUGUUUCAAUCUGUUAUUUUAGUGAGUUCGGUUACGUCGCAGUCCAUUAGAGUCUUUGUUUUAGUUGCUGAUCAUUUAUCCUUCGCGUGUUCUUUGUGCCUCUUUUAUAUCUAAAAAUCCCCACAAAAAAAUCUAUAUAGCCUAUAUCAUUCUUUGUGUUAUCCUUGAUCCUAUCAAAUUAUAGUUUCUGGUUGUGCUUUGUUUCUAUCAUCAAGUUUGCAAGUAUUAUAUCUGAUCACUGUGUUUAGUUCUAUAUAAAAAAAGUGUGUCAAAAAAGAAAAGAAAGUGCAAAAAAAAAGUGAAGUAAAAAAAGGUAGAGAAAGGUUCAGAGAGAAAGUGUGAAAGAUUAGUUGGUUUAUGUGCACAAGUGCUGAAAGUUUCAUAUCAAGUUCUGCAACCAGUUUGCUAUCUUUGUUUGGUGCAAUAUUUUGGUUGGGUCUGAUUGCAACACUUGCAGCCCAAUCAUACUCCUUGUUUGCAUCAAAUCUGAAUUUUCUUUGUGCGUGUGUGUGAUCAUUUACUUCUUUCAUAUCUUGUGGUCAGCGCUAGGCAGAGAACUUCUAGUUUGGAUCGUUACUUAACUUUACAACAACUAGAAUUUAGAUUGCAUUUCUUGUGUAUUACUUCCCACCAAGCUCCACAUAAAAACCAUCGUAAUCAGUACUCUCUGUUCUUGUAUUCGCCUCGCCAUCACUUUCAGUUGCCACCACACAUUUGUUUUCCUUGUAAUCUGCAGCAGAGGAAUUCAUAAGAGCUUCGGUGGUUAGAGAGGUGAGUUGUGAGAGCCACCAAAUUUUCAUAUUCCACAAAUACAAAUUAUUUGUAUUCAGCUAACCUUACAGGAAGAUGGGUCAAGUGGACAUCAAAGAUCGUGUUUCCAUAGCACAAUUUAAUAAACUCCGACAAAGCAUAGAAGAAAAGCAAGAUAGGUUGACACAAGAUCUUCAGAAUCUUAUGACUGAAAUCAAAAGGCAUCGUCCACCUCAUGAUGGUGCAAGCAACCAUAGUGGAGAUAGAGAAGAUAGUGAUGGAAGAAGAGGAGGUCGGAGGAACCGGAGGGCUGCACAUGGUAAAGGAAGAAGACAUAGUCGAAGAAAUGAUGAUGAAUCUGAAGCUGAGGCUGAUGACAACCGCUUCCAACUCAGUUUUGGUCGCUGAUGUCAUAGAAGAGGCAACCAUGAAGAAAAUUUUGGCAAACUGAAAUUUACCAUGCCAAAAAUUGCUGCUGAACCAUCCCCGAGGAAUUUCUCUGGAGGAAGCAAAUCACACACAAAAUUUGCUGCUGAACCGUCCAUGGUGAAAAGCUCAAGUGGAGGCUCCCGAUCUAAUUUUUAUGGUACUUUUAGUGGAAAGAACACUGCUGUCCAUGGUGAAACAUUCUUUGUAGCCUAAAGGGUAGUAGCAAUAGAUUUAGUUAGUCAGAUGCACGCUUUCUCCCAGUGGUAAAAAUAUAAAUACGAUACUCUGGAUAACCUCCUGGGUGAAGUGCUCACCGAUAUCCGUGCGCUUGCGGAUCAUUUCCUGAUGGCGUUAACAAAUAUCAACAAGCAUUUCUGGCGCCGUUGCCGGGGAGAAAGACGGUUUGCUGAGAUAACUUUAAGUCUUGUUAUUAUCUUGUAUUAUACUUUUAUACUUUUAUUCUUUUAUCUUUUUAUUUUUUCCAUCUUUAUGGAUAACUUAAAUUCCACAACUAUUAUUGAAUUCUUUGCACCUUCGGAGACCAGCCAUAGACCAUGGGAGUCAACAAGUCCUGCCCCUAAUUAUGAUCUGUGUCCUGAGUUGAUUGCAAUAGGUCAAAACCAACCCUUUUCUAUAGCCGAGGUCCUAUCUUUUAAUCAAGAAGAUAAUGAACUUUUAGCUACACCUAGGGAAUCUUUUAAUCUUUUUAUAAAUUCUGGUUUAAACCUAGCCCUACAAGACCAUGUUUUUCCUCGAUAUUUUCACAUUGGUCUUAAUCAUAUAACCUUUGGUAGAGUUUUUCUUUCUUUAUCUAUUAGUAAAGGAAGGUAUGUCUUCAUUCAUGGACAUCCUUCUUGCACUAGUCUUCACAAAAAAUUCCUAGAGAUAGAGAAGGAAUCAUCUCCCAUACAAGGAAAGGAAGUUUCAAUAGCCGAUUUCCAAACAUUUCAAUCCCAUGAUUCAGCUAUCCAUCCCAUCCUUGAGCUUAAUAAUUUCUACUAUGCUCUUUCUCUUGAACCUCCCGAUAAUCCUAUGAAUCUCUCUAGACAUCCCAUGCAUAAGAGUCACCAAGAACACAAGAAGGAUCGAGAAGAGCAACAUCAAUGGCUAGAGGGCAUUAAAAAUCCAUGUGCUAUCACCAUUGAAUGGAUGGAUAAAACAAACUUGAGAGACAAUUCUAGAGGAAUUUUAAGCAUUCGUGAAAAAUCAUCCUUGGAGUUUGAGAAUAAGAGAAACAAUAGUGAGCAUGGAAGUUAUUUCAUGAACACCUCACCAAGUCCUUGCUCAUAUAAAACAUCUCCCCAAUCAACUGGUCUCUCCAACCUUACCACAUUUGAGAUCUCCAACCCCCUCUUCCUUUUUAUUUAUAAAAACUUUAAAAGGGUGGUUGUCGAUAUAUAUGUCUAUAAUAAAUAUUGCAGAUCUCGUUGAGUUGAUCUUGAUAUAGGUCAGCGUUGGAGGGGAAACCACUUCACCGGCAUAAAUUGAUGGUUUCCCAGGGACAAGCUUAGUGUCCUAAAACAAGCACUUAUCAGAUCGUAACAUGAAUUUCUAAUUACUUGCAACAUUACCUAGUGUGUUGAGCAUAUAAAGAUAAUUGUAGAAAUAUUCCUUCGGGUAUUCUUGUCACUAACCUUUCCAGGAUUGGAACAAGAAGAUCGGAUGAAUGACAAGCACAAGUUAUGUCUAACCAAUCGUCAUGCAACAUUGAAUUAAAUUCAUCUAAACUUGAAUUUUGCAAAAUUCAAGCUUGGGGGAGUAUUUUACAUAAAAACAUCCUUUGCCAUGUUGCUAUGUUGGUUGUCCCUACCUUUGAGACAUGCUCAAUUUGUUAAAUACUAAUCACGCUACUUCAUCUCCACUUCAGUAGAUCUCUAUAAAUGCUCUCAUGCUACCUUUAUUUGCUUUAGUAUAUGUCUAGGUUUGGAGUAGUUUCAUUUAUCUCUUAAUUCAGCAUGGUGCUUAGUUUAGGAAUGAUGAUCUUACUUCCAAGGGAUUUUGAAUUAAGCAUGGUGCUUAGGUUAAAAUGCCUUUCUAAAUCAAAUUAGACAUGGUGUCUAGGUUGAUUUUUGUGACGAUAGUAUGCUAUAGUAGAUAUUGGAUAUUUUGUUAAGGAAGGCAUAGCUCACAAGAGAUGAUCCAUGGAGGGUGCCACAAACACGAUGCACAACCGCUAAGAAAGGAAAGCUUCCACAAGGUGAUACUGUAUCAUCACUCUUCAAGUAAGGUAACAUCUUAAGGUACUUGACUAUCUCUUUUAUAAGCUUAUCCUUGAUUCUGGCGUUCACAUAAAACAAAGAAACAGACAUGUAUGAUUUAUAACUCCAAAUUAACCAACCCAACUGAUUCAGCAUGGUUAGUCCUUUAAUCUUUGUUCCUAGUACUACCUCCAUGAUCCUACACUCCUAAUCAUAUAAGCUAAAAUAUUGCACAUUCAAUCUUUGGAAGAUAAAAAAAAUAAACAAAACAUAAAAUAUAGAUAGAUUAUCUUUCCAUUAGGUUAAGCCAUCUGAUCUGACAAAUGUUUUAAAUGCUACACUCAUGAUCUUAUUAUCCAUCAACUUUGUCUUGCUCACUAUGCUUAAGGUUAGAGAAGAACAAAUACACUUUUGGUUCUGUUGGUGUUUUUCACCAACAGGGCCCAUGCACUUGAUCCCUGCCUUGUCUCUAUGAGUAGGUACACUUCGAGCAAAACCUGAAGGAGUUUUACAACUCCCAGACUCCACCAAGUGAAGGGCUUGGAUCUACGAGCACAAACACACAAGAGAUACUAGACACUCAGGCAAUCACUGCCCUGAGAUGCUUGAGGACGUAAACUAUAUCAACAACAACAACUACUACAACCGUCCUCAACAAAAUCAAGGUUGGAAUCAACACUGGCCUAACUACUCAGAGAGGCGAUCCAGGACGCCCCGUCAUCCCGAUCUCCAUCGGCAUGAUGGACUUCCCAGAACCACUCUGCAACUUUGGCUCCAACGUCAACAUUAUGCCCAGGGUUGCAGAUCGGACACUAAAGUUUCCCAAAGGGAAUAUUGAAGAACCUCUGCGUCCGAGUUGGUACCUUGUAUGCCCCAGUGCUACCAAGAUUAGUCUCUACAUCAAGGGGAGGAAGGACGUUUUCCUUCAAGAACAAGACUACACAAAUCUCAGAGCAAUCCCGACAUGAACCAAGGAAGAGGACCAACAGGAGGAACAGGAACAAGCAAAUUCAGACCGAGUCAGCUAAGAUGGUCACUACAGUUCAAGGAGGUCAAGAUCGUCGACUUAAGUCACCGUUUCUGACCAAAAAGGAUGACCCAGCUCCAGAUGGCAGAUCAGACAUUCCAAAAGGUUGAAGGUUAUUGACAUGGGAGAAGACGAGUAUGAUACACCCAUCAUCCUGGAGAGACCGUUCCUCGGCACCGUUAAAGCAAUCAUCUACAUUGGAACCGGAGAGGCCCACAUGCACUUCCCCUCUCAGAAGGUACGCCGCUAUUUUACUGACCUUAACUAUAUAGUUGAAGACUCUAAGCAGGUCAGGACAAGAAGAAGACGACGCAACCGCAACCAGAUGAGGCAAAUCAUCAAGGACGGAUAGGCAGACUACGAAGGAGAAGUGAUAAGGUCUGAAGACAUACAGCUUGAACAGAACUAUCCUGAGGAGACUGUAGCACCGAGUUAGGAAGAGAAGAUAGUUAUACACGAAGAAGAGGCGCCGCCGGAACCACCGACUACGCCAUCCAAUGAAUCUCAUGACGACUAAGAAAAUGGAGAGUUCCAUUCGGAGGACUUAAAAACACCGAAUGUCUUGCCAAAAGGUAAACUUGGUAGUUAUCCUUUUCCUUUCAAUUAUUCAAUUAUAGUUCGCUUAGUUAAUCACGUUCAUGCUAUCUUGAAAAGAAAAUAAAAAUGUUAAAAAUAGUAAGCCCCAUGUGAGUAUGCUCAUGGCAUAAAACCCAUAAGUACAUUCACUGUGCUCACAUAAAAAUAUUCUUGUCCUGUAAAAAUGAGAAUAUAAAAAUAAAUUUAUGAUCCUACCAAAGAGAGUAAUAUUUAUUAGAGGAAGCUCAAUAUGAUAAAGGCAAAGAGAUUUUAUGCUAACACUUAACCAGUUCCACAAAGCUUUGUUGUCAAUUUGAGCUCCACAGAAUUCAAGGAUCAAAGAAGACUAGCAGACGGAGGACAUCCUAAUCGCUGUCAGGGUGCUGCCGACAUUCAAAUACACCUCUGUCACCUGCUAGCUACAUCAGAAGAAAUUACGUCAAAAUCCAGCUUGGGGGAGAGCACCCCCAUUUAUCCAGCUAAGUAUUUCUACUCACGUUUAUACUUUACUCAAAUAAUAAAAAGAUGCAUAAUCAUGAAAACCUAAAUAAAAAUUCCAUGCUUAUAUUUUUGCUUAGUUUGCUAAAUAAAUAAAUAAAUAAAGUUUGAUAUGAACCCUCAUGAUAAGCUCUCACAUGGAAAUGAUAAAUAGUUGCUCUGCUAUGUACCUAGUUUUCAAGCUUGAGCUCUCUCUCAAGUUUAGGCAUAACUGUUAUAAUUUAAACCUGCUCUAAACCUGAACUUGUGGGAAGAGUACUUGAUCUGAAGUCUAAGUUGUUAACGGAUAUGAUAUGGGAAGGUUAAGCUGUUGUUUAUCUGUUCCUAGAGAUGCUAGAAUUCUGGAGAAUUUUAUCUUUGAAAAUCUUUAAAAUAACACAUGAUGAGUUCCUGUAUGAUGAGAGUUUAAAAUCCUGCCACAACCAUAUAUACAUGCUUAUUAGGCUAUGAACCAUACAUUUACUUUUUACUACUUAUGAGCAUUGAGUGUGGUCAAGCUGUGUAGACCCUUAGGAGCUUGUCAUGCGGGUAAAAUCAAGAUCCACUUGCACGUUCACUCACACAUGCUGCUUCUACUCCGGAAGUACGCAUCCACAUAUAUCCACUCAUUUCCAUCUCUAGAUUCACCCAAAAUUAUUCUACUCCUAAUCCGAGAGAGAAUAGCCAAAAACAUUUCCCUAUUUCUGUUUUUCCCUAUGAAAUAAAUGCUCAAGAUAUUUUGGUUACUACCACUUGCUACAUUAUUCCAGGAGGGUGAGUGCUCUGACAAAAAAGAGAAAAAAAGUUAAUACGAGGAAAUAAAAAGGGGCAAGUGCCCGAAACCUCGAAGAAAAGAAAAAGUGUGACGAGAGGUAAAAAUGGACAAGUGUCCGAUAGUAGAAUUAGGGGUACAAGAUACCCACCUGAGAGAAAAAGAAAAAGAAAAAUAUAGAGCAUCUCAUUCUCCUCAAAAAGCUUCAAAGUGCAAGAAAGGUAUGUAUCCCCUAAAAAAAGCAAAAGUAGAAUUAGACUUUCACCAUUGUUAUCACCAUCAUCAGCAUACAGCAUUCACUCGCCACAUAUGCAUAUCUUGAUUUGACUUAUUGACUUGUUCUUCUGGAUCCAUGGUUUGACUAUACAAUAAAUGUCUUGUAAGUAUGUAUUAUCUGUCUCCCACCUAUGGGCUCCAAAUAUCAAAACCUUAUUAGAGUAGGGUGAGAGAGAAGGCAAUAUCACUAUGCCUCAUACCAAAAAAUACCACACACUUUGAGAGAUGGCAUAUACCAUUACUGCCUUGGAAAGGAUCCAGAAAUACCACAAAAGAGAGAUUUGAGAGAGUCAUACAAGGAGUCUCUUAGUUUUAAUUGAAAAUCUGCAAAAACUCCAGAGCUAUAGCUGAUCAAGAAUAAGAGACAUGGCGCUUGACAUGACCGUUCUAUUUUUUAACUGCUCAAGACACAAGUGAUGUUUGCAAGCCCCAUGGUGAAAGGUAAAAUGAGUAAGUUUUAAGUCUUAACAGUUUACUCUAACUCAGAGAUGAGAUCUUGCUUGAAUGCAUGUGUACUUUUACGACAUGAAACCACUGCAGAAACUCUUGAGUCCAUCCUUGCUCAGGGACGAGCAAGACGUAAGCUUGGGGGAGUUGUUGACGGUCCUUAAGUACCAAAUAUAAUCAUCAAAUAAAAAAAAGAAAAGUAUCCAAAUGCAACCAACACCCAGACUUAGGGUUUUAUCUGACAGAAUUUCAUGAGUUUUUAUGUUUGUCUAUUUCUGUAGGGGGUUAUCAGGAAAUAUGGAAGAAAGGCCCACACGUCGGGUUUACAUAGAGAUAUUAACGUGCCGCGUAAUUUUCUACCAUCUGGAAGACUCUAGAAGCCAUGGGAAUGAACGGGAAGGUGAUCGGGUCCGGGGGCAGGGCGCCCGCCCUCCCCCUAGGGCGCCCGCCCUAAGGUAGAGUCCAAACAGGACCCGUCUCGCGGAUUACGCUCCACCGACCUAAAGGAUCAAGGAUAACCGUUCAAUCAAUGUUGGUUUUAUCCGACGGCCCACGUUCACCUGAGGGGACUAUAUAAGCAGACCCCCUGGCCCCUGGAGGAGAACAAGUUCAUCAUAGAGUUGCGAGGAGCCCUCGAAGGAUAACCUCUCCUCUAAAUAGACUUAGGGCUUAGCAUCCAAUGUGAGAGUAGAAUUAGUUCUUCUAAGUUCUACUAGAUUGAGAGAGAUAGAGUGGAGGUGUAGAUCGGAGGAAGCCCGGCCUGUCGGUGUCUACUCUGAGGUUGUACCUGCGGGAUCAAGUUCUCCUAACCCGAGGCUUGCUCCUAGGAUUCUUCAGUAAUUCGACUUCUAAAUUCUAGUAAGUUCUUGUUUUAUUGUUCUUUGGUUUAUGAGUUUACUUUAAUCUCUUCCGGUUGAGUUUAGAGUAAUCAUUGCUAGCGUAAACGUGGUGUUUGGGCUAGGGUACUCAUAGAUAUCCCCUGACUAGCUAGAUCGUGGUAGUAGCGAGGAACGUGACAUUUCCGAGUUACCUUUGCAGCCCACAUCUUGUUAGCAGGAUGGGUAGGGUUUAUAGGUGCGGGUCGAACAUUCUUUGUGGUGUCUAGAUUCCGUGAGCCUCCCCAAUAGAACAGUAGAUCAUCCUUACCAAGGUUUGAACGAGACUACGGUUGUAGUCUUCUCUAUACAUCGCUCACAUCGAGAAACAUUCUUUGUAGCCUAAAGGGUAGUAGCAAUAGAUUUGGUUAGUCAGAUGCACGCUUUCUCCUAGUGGUAAAAAUAUAAAUACGAUACUCUGGAUAACCUCCCGGGUGAAGUGCUCACCGAUAUCCGUGCACUUGCGGAUCAUUUCCUGAUGGCGUUAACAAAUAUCAACAUAUAGUAACUGAUGUCCCUGUCAAAAUAGACGAUCAUUUUGUCCAUACAGAUUUUCAGGUUAUUGACAUGGGAGAAGACGAGUACGAUCCACCCAUCAUCCUUGGGAGACCGUUCCUCAGCACCGUUAAAGCGAUCAUCUACAUUGGAACCGGAGAGGUCCAUAUGCACUUCCCCUCUGAGAAGGUACGCCGCUAUUUUACUGACCCUAAUUAUAUAGUUGAAAACUUUAAGCAGGUCAGGACAAGAAGAAGACGACGCAACCGCAACCAGAGGAGGCAAAUCAUCAACGACGGAUGGGCAGACUACGAAGGAGAAGUAGUAAGGUCUAAAAACAUACAGCUUGAACAGAACUAUCCUAAGGAGACCAUGGCACCGAGUCAGGUGUGGAGAGAGAAGAUAGUUAUACGCGAAGAGGAGGCGCCGCCGGAACCACCGACUACGCCAUCUAGCAAAUCCCAGGUCGAUUGAGAAAACAAAGAGUCCCGUUCGGAGGACUUAAAAACACCGAACGCCUUGCCAAGAGGUAAACUUGGUAGUUAUCCCUUUGCUUUCAAAUCAUUUACUUUUUCUUAAAAAUAGCUAGUUCAAGUUAAUCAGGUUCAUAUCAUCUUAAAAAGAAAAAUAAAAAUGUUAAAACCAGUAAAGCCCUAUGUGAGUAUACAAGUGGCAUAAAACCCAUAAGUACAUUCAGUGUGGUGGCAUAAAAAAAUAAUAAUAAAAAUAUUGUUCUGCUCUAUAAAAAUAUAAAACAUAAAAUUGUGAUCCUACUAAAUAAAGUAGCAUUUAUUGAGGAGGCUCAACAUGAUAAAGGCUAGAUAUUUAUGCUAACACUUAAUCAGUUCCAGAAAGCUUUGUUGUCUAUUUGAGCUCCACAGAAUUUAAGGAUCAAGAAGACUAGUAGACGGAGGACAUUCUAAUCGCUGUCAGAGUACUGCCGACAUUCAAAUACACCUCUGCCACCUGCUAGCUACAUCAGAAGAAAUUACAUCAAAAUUCAACUUGGGGGAGAGCACCCCCAGCUAUUCCGCUAAGUAUUUCUAUCUUCAUUUAUACUUAUACUAUAUUAAAAUAAAAAAUAUAUAACCAUGAAAAAACCAAAUAAAGAUUUUGUGCUUAUAUAUAUAUAUCGGUUGCUUAGUGUGCUUAAUAAAUAAAUGAAGUGGCUAUGCUAAACUGAAUCUUAAUAAAACUCUAGCAUGGAUACUAUGAAUAGUUGCUCUACCUAAUUUUCAAAUUUGGAGUUCUCUCUCUAGUUUAGACAUAAUUAUUAUAAUUUAAAGCUUGCUCUAAACCUGAACUUGUGGGAAGAGAACUUGAUCUAAAGUCUAAGUUGUUAACGGAUAUGAUAUGGGAGGGUUGAGCUGUUGUUUAUCUAUUCCUAGAGAUGCUAGAAUUUUGGAGAAUUUUAUCUUUUUAAAAUAUCACAUGAUGAGUUCCUGAAUGAUGAGAGUUUAAAUUCCUACCACAGCCAUAUAUACAUGCUUGCUAGACUUUGAGCCACACAUUUACUUUUUACUGCUUAUGAGCAUUGAGUGUGGUCAAGCUGUGUAGACCCUUAUGAGCUUGUCAUGCAGUUAAAAUCAAGAUUCACUUGCACGUUCACUCACACAUGCAGCUUCUACUCCGAAAGUACGCAUCCACAUAUAUCCACUCAUUUCCAUCUCCAGAACCACCCAAAAGUAUUCUACUCCUAAUCCGGGAGAGAAUAGCCAAAAACAUUCUCCUAUUUCUGUUUUUCCUGUGAAUUAAAUGCUCGAGUUAUCUUGGUUACUACCACUUGCUAUAUUAUUUCAGGAGAUGACUGCUCUAAAAAAAGAAAAAGGAUACGAGGAAAUAGAAAGGGGCAUGUGCUCGGAACCUCAAAAAAAGUGAGACGAGAGGUAAAAAUGGACAAGUUUCCGACAGUAGAAUUAGGGGUACAAGAUACCCACCUCAGAGGAAAGAAAAAGAAAAUAUAGAGCAUCUCAUUCUCCUCAAAAAGUUUCAAAAGAGCAAGAACGGUAUGUAUUCCCUCAAAAGAGCAAAAAGUAGAAUUAGACUUUCACCAUUGUUAUCACCAUCAUCACCAUACACCAUUCAUUCCCCACACAUGCACAUCUUGAUUUGACUUAUUAACCUCUUUCUCUGGAUCCAUGGCUUGACUAUGCAAUAAAUGUCUUGUAAGUAUGUAUACUUCAUCUCCCACCUAUGAGCUCCAGAUAUCAAAAGGCUUAUUAAAGUAGGGUGGAGAGAGAAGGCAAGUUUACUAUGCUUUGAGAGAAGGCAUAUACCAUCGCUGCCUUGGUAAGGAUCCAGAAAUACCACAAAAGAGAGAUCUGAGAGAGUCAUACAAGGAAUCUCUGAGUUUUAUUUGAAAAUCUACAAAAAAACUCCAGAGCUAUAGCUCAUCA
rnacentral:lncRNA from 1 species